rnacentral:rRNA from 1 species
GAGCGAACAGAUAAGGAGCUUGCUCCUUUGACGUUAGCGGCGGACGGGUGAGUAACACGUGGGUAACCUACCUAUAAGACUGGGAUAACUUCGGGAAACCGGAGCUAAUACCGGAUAAUAUUUCGAACCGCAUGGUUCGAUAGUGAAAGAUGGUUUUGCUAUCACUUAUAGAUGGGCCCGCGUCGUAUUAGCUAGUUGGUAAGGUAACGGCUUACCAAGGCGACGAUACGUAGCCGACCUGAGAGGGUGAUCGGCCACACUGGAACUGAGACACGGUCCAGACUCCUACGGGAGGCAGCAGUAGGGAAUCUUCCGCAAUGGGCGAAAGCCUGACGGAGCAACGCCGCGUGAGUGAUGAAGGUCUUCGGAUCGUAAAACUCUGUUAUUAGGGAAGAACAUACGUGUGAGUAACUGUGCACGUCUUGACGGUACCUAAUCAGAAAGCCACGGCUAACUACGUGCCAGCAGCCGCGGUAAUACGUAGGUGGCAAGCGUUAUCCGGAAUUAUUGGGCGUAAAGCGCGCGUAGGCGGUUUUUUAAGUCUGAUGUGAAAGCCCACGGCUCAACCGUGGGGGGUCAUUGGAAACUGGAAAACUUGAGUGCAGAAGAGGAAAGUGGAAUUCCAUGUGUGGCGGUGAAAUGCGCAGAGAUAUGGAGGAACACCAGUGGCGAAGGCGACUUUCUGGUCUGUAACUGACGCUGAUGUGCGAAAGCGUGGGGAU